AGGGCACCACCAGGGGUGGAGCCUGCGGCUUAAUUUGACUCAACACGGGGAAACUUACCCGGCCUGGACACUGGAAGGAUUGACAGAUUGAGAGCUCUUUCUUGAUUCAGUGGGUGGUGGUGCAUGGCCGUUCUUAGUUGGUGGAGCGAUUUGUCUGGUUAAUUCCGAUAACCAACGAGACUCUAGCCUAUUAAAUAGGCUCUCGGCUUUUAAACGCCGGGAGGACUUCUUAAAAGGACAGGGGGCGGUUCCGCCCCCCGAAAGAGAACAAUAACCGGUCUGUGAAGCCCUUUGUUGUCCGGGGCCGCACGCGCGCUACCCUGAAGAGAUCAGGGUGCUUUACAUUCCUGCUCCUACCGGAUUGGGGAACCCCAUGAACCUUCUUCGUGAUUGGGAUAAAAGAAUGUAAAUAAUCUUCUUGAACGAGGAAUUCCCCAAAAAUGCUAGUCAUAAGCUCGCAUUGAUUACGUCCCCUGCCCUUUGUACACACCGCCCCUCGCUACUACCGAUUGAACGAUU
rnacentral:rRNA from 1 species